GUGCGCAUUUGCCACUUCUGGCCCCGGCCCUGCAUGAGGCAAGCAGUGGUUCCCAGCGGGCACUCUGGGUCUUGGUCUCCCCCGGGGCUGCGGCCUGGGGCGCCCUGGGCUCUGCGCUGGGGUCCCCCUAAUUUAUAAUUAUUUAUUAAAUAGUGAAAUCAGUUGGAGAGAUAAAAGGCACAUAAUCAUACGGACAGCCACCUAGCGAUUAUGAGUUUGCUGCUCACCUAUCUCCAUUCUGUAGCCAAGAGAUUAUACAUAAGUUGCCCACAAGAUAAGUAUAAAGAGAGAGAUGAUGCUUCCUUGAUCCCUAAUUUAUAAUCCUAGUGACAUCACUCAUUCUGGGUGUCCCCAAUUGGACAAUUUGUCUUUACUCUGGGUCACAAGCAUGCCAGAAGUCAAGUGGGAGAAGAGGCAAGUGUCUUCUAAAAGCCAAGUAACUAGGAGGCCUCUGGUAUCAUCCCAUAAUGCUCAUGAGUACCCAGCCAAAGGAACUCAGUCACUAUAUUCCAGACUCAACUUUCUCCAAUCCAUUUUUAGAGCUGCCAGAAUACUCAUCCUUAAUUACAGUUUGACCACGUUAUUCCCUUGAUCAAGAACCUUCAACAUUUCCUUAUUAUGCAUAAAACAUCCCCAAAGAUUUCUGGCUUAGGAGGCCACAGUGUGCAAUUCAGGAACAGGGAGUUUUACUGAGCCUAAUAUACUCAACUUGUUAUCACUACAUAACCUGAUUCAAUAUCUUCCUUCUAAGCAUGAGUAAACUUCAUUUUGUUUAAUGACAUUGCAUUUGAUUUUAUUUCAUUAUUUUGUUUUAAUAUUAAAGCUAAAUUAUCAGGGAACAAGGUGGAUAAGACUAAGCCUAAAACAACUUAUAUGCCCUUGACAUGUCAGCCUAAUUGUACUAUUCUUUCUUCUCUGAAGUCAUCCCUAAAGCCACUAAUUAAGCCAGCACAAAUUUGUUAUAUUUGAUAUAGGCACAAGUAGAUAUAUUAGGAUGUAUGGCCACAUGGUAUAUGUUUUUCCAUCAAGAUGGU
rnacentral:lncRNA from 1 species